GUUCUACUCCCUCCGUUUCAAAUUACUCGUCGCAGAAAUGGAUGUAUCUAGAACUAAAAUACAUCUAGAUACAUCCAUACCCGCGACAAGUAAUUCGGAACGGAGGGAGUACUAU
rnacentral:pre_miRNA from 1 species